UACGUAGGGGGCAAGCGUUGUCCGGAUUUAUUGGGCGUAAAGAGCGUGUAGGCGGUCCGUUAAGUCGGCUGUGAAAGUCCAAGGCUCAACCUUGGGAUGCCGGUCGAUACUGCCGGACUAGAGUUCGGAAGAGGCGAGUGGAAUUCCCGGUGUAGCGGUGAAAUGCGCAGAUAUCGGGAGGAACACCUAUGGCGAAGGCAGCUCGCUGGGACGUUACUGACGCUGAGACGCGAAAGCGUGGGGAGCAAACAGG
rnacentral:rRNA from 1 species